rnacentral:rRNA from 1 species
CACGUAGGGCGCAAGCGUUGUCCGGAAUUAUUGGGCGUAAAGAGCUCGUAGGCGGUCUGUUGCGUCCGCUGUGAAAACUCGGGGCUUAACCCCGAGCCUGCAGUGGAUACGGGCAGACUAGAGGUAGGUAGGGGAGAAUGGAAUUCCCGGUGUAGCGGUGAAAUGCGCAGAUAUCGGGAGGAACACCGGUGGCGAAGGCGGUUCUCUGGGCCUACCUGACGCUGAGGAGCGAAAGCGUGGGGAGCGAACAGG